AACGAACGCUGGCGGCAGGCCUAACACAUGCAAGUCGAACGGGCGUAGCAAUACGUCAGUGGCGCACGGGUGAGUAACGCGUGGGUACCUGUCUGAUGGUAGGGGAUAACCGCGGGAAACUGCGGCUAAUACCCUAUGUGUCCUUCGGGACAAAGAUUUAUCGCCAUCAGGUGGGCCCGCGUAGGAUUAGCUAGUUGGUGAGGUAACGGCUCACCAAGGCGACGAUCCUUAGCUGGUCUGAGAGGACGAUCAGCCACACUGGGACUGAGACACGGCCCAGACUCCUACGGGAGGCAGCAGCGGGGAAUAUUGGACAAUGGGGGCAACCCUGAUCCAGCCAUGCCGCGUGAGUGAUGAAGGCCUUCGGGUUGUAAAGCUCUUUUGGCGGGAACGAUGAUGACGGUACCCGCAGAAUAAGCUCCAGCUAACUUCGUGCCAGCCGCCGCGGUAA
rnacentral:rRNA from 1 species